rnacentral:rRNA from 1 species
GCAGGCCUAACACAUGCAAGUCGAGCGCGCCCUUCGGGGUGAGCGGCGGACGGGUUAGUAACGCGUGGGAACGUGCCCAUCCCUACGGAAUAGCCUCGGGAAACUGAGAGUAAUACCGUAUACGCCCUUCGGGGGAAAGAUUUAUCGGGGAUGGAUCGGCCCGCGUCUGAUUAGAUAGUUGGUGGGGUAAUGGCCUACCAAGUCGACGAUCAGUAGCUGGUUUGAGAGGAUGAUCAGCAACACUGGGACUGAGACACGGCCCAGACUCCUACGGGAGGCAGCAGUGGGGAAUCUUAGACAAUGGGCGCAAGCCUGAUCUAGCCAUGCCGC